UUUUAAUGUAACUGUCAUUUUAAAUAACCUUUAAAAUACAAAAUAUACAUACUAUGCACAGUUUAGUGAAAUUGUAUCCGGCUGUUUUCACCCUUCACUACGACGUUCUCUCACCUUGUGCUGACAUUUCCAUUGGACCAUUCCACAUAUCUGGAUACAUCGCACAUAUCUCUCUAAAUAAAGCCAGGUGCAGCUUUCCUAGACUGUGUACUGGCCGGCUGGAGAGUUCAAAGAAAACAGGGAAGAACACCAAGUCUUACUACUCAAAGACAAAGGAAAAAGAAAACCGAAAGGAAUGGAGAAGGAAACUGAAAAAAAGAGGCACCGAUUCACCCCUGGAGAUGAGGAUCUUAUUAUUUCAGGGGUACUUGGGCACUGGGAGGACCUCUUCGGCGCCCAGGCCCACAUUCGCCCCCGGGGGUCAAAGACUGCAACCUGGAACACCAUCGCUGGGACCUUGACCUCGGCUGUGGCGAGAUGUGGUGACGAUGUCCGGAAGAAAUACAAUCUCAUAAGGAGCCAAAUCAAGCAAAAGGUUUCUUCUAUCCGGACAUGGUCCACCCAGACUGGUGGGGGGCCCAACACCGUGCCGGCGCUGACCGACCUGGAGCAGCAACUUUUCUCCCGAAUGGCAGAGACCGAAGCUGGUGUAGGGCCUGUUGAUUUGGGAUUUGGUCUCUCUCAGGGAGAAAUCUCCAGCUCUGGUCCCCCACCAGCAGCAGAGGGAACUGUGGAGGCAGCUUUACCCUCUGUCACCAUGGAGGAGCUACCCUCCACCUCACCAUCAACACCUUGGCCAGCACCAACAGUGCCACCCCAACCCAUCACCUCCCGUCCUGCACCAGCUCACUCAAUCCACUCUCAAUCAAUGAAUCAAAUUUAUUUUAUAAAGCCCUUUUUACAUCAGCAGUUGUCACAAAGUGCUUUACAGAUACCCAGCCUGAAACCCCAAAUAGCAAGCAAUGCAGAUGCACUCUCUGGCACCGCACCCCAACCCAUCACCUCCUGUCCUGCACCAGCUCAUUCCAUCCACUCUGGCUUUGCUCCCCAACCCAUCACCUCCUGUCCUGCACCAGCUCAUUCCAUCCACUCUGGCUUUGCUCCCCAACCCAUUACCUCCUGUCCUGCACCAGCUCAUUCCAUCCACUCUGGCUUUGCUCCCCAACCCAUCACCUCCUGUCCUGCACCAGCUCAUUCCAUCCACUCUGGCUUUGCUCCCCAACCCAUCACCUCCUGUCCUGCACCAGCUCACUCCAUCCACUCUGACUCUACACCCCAACCCAUCACGUCUGGCUGGACACCACAAGGCCCCCAAGCCAAUCUGCUCCAACAAAUCCUGGAGACACAAACGCAACAAAUCCAUGUUACACAGACCGCCCAGCACAUCCACCAAGCUCUUUAUGAUUUAUUAGAAAAAGCACAUGAAACACAGAAGGCACACCUGGAUGUGGAGAAGAACCGGCUCCAGCUGGAUAGAGAGCGCUUGAGGGUGGAGACAGAGCGCCUGCAGGUGGAGAGGGAGCGCCUCAAGAUGGAGAAGGAUCGCCUGGGGGAAGGGGAGGCGCUUCGGCAGCUCUCUGUCUCUGGGUCAGUCGCCCUAGAACACCAGACGCCUGUGAGUUCAAGAACUGUCAGUGCCUCCCCCACCCUUCCUCUGGGAACACCAUCAGCCUCCAUGUCCAGUCCCCUCACAUUAAUAUCACCUACUGCACCACACUUUGAUUUCUUAUUUUCCCCAUUCCCAUUACCGGUAAUCACAACCCAUUCCACCCAGCCAUCACAAACCAGCCCUGCCUCAACCUCCCCUGACUUAACCAGCCCUGCCCCAACCUCCCCUACCUUAAAAAUUCCUGCCUCAACCUCUCCUACCUUAACCAGCCCUGCCCCAACCUCUCCUACCUUAACCGUUUCUGCCCACUCUCUCAUCCCUCCAAUCUCCGGAUCUGUUAAACGGCGAGUUCAGGAGACAGUCCGGCCUUGGCCUGGACCCACUGCCAAGAAUACAAAACACCAAUAAACAAAUGUAAUAAAAUACAA
ensembl:lncRNA